GCCAGCGAUUAGGUCGGGAACUCAAAGGAGACUGCCAGUGAUAAACUGGAGGAAGGUGGGGAUGACGUCAAGUCAUCAUGGCCCUUACGACCAGGGCUACACACGUGCUACAAUGGCGCAUACAAAGAGAAGCGACCUCGCGAGAGCAAGCGGACCUCAUAAAGUGCGUCGUAGUCCGGAUUGGAGUCUGCAACUCGACUCCAUGAAGUCGGAAUCGCUAGUAAUCGUGGAUCAGAAUGCCACGGUGAAUACGUUCCCGGGCCUUGUACACACCGCCCGUCACACCAUGGGAGUGGGUUGCAAAAGAAGUAGGUAGCUUAACCUUCGGGAGGGCGCUUACCACUUUGUGAUUCAUGACUGGGGUGAAGUCGUAACAAGGUAACCGUAGGGGAACCUGCGGUUGGAUCACCUCCUUACCUUAAAGAAGC
rnacentral:rRNA from 3 species